UACGUAGGGGGCAAGCGUUAUCCGGAUUCACUGGGUUUAAAGGGUGCGUAGGUGGGCAAGUAAGUCAGUGGUGAAAUCUCCCGGGGCUUAACCCGGAAACUGGCCAUUGAUACUAUUUGUCUUGAAUACUGUGGAGGUCAGCGGAAUAUGUCAUGUAGCGGUGAAAUGCUUAGAUAUGACAUAGAACACCAAUUGCGAAGGCAGCUGGCUACACAAAUAUUGACACUGAGGCACGAAAGCGUGGGGAUCAAACAGG
rnacentral:rRNA from 1 species